rnacentral:rRNA from 1 species
UACGUUCCCAGGCCUUGUACACACCGCCCGUCACAUCAUGAAAGCCGGUCGUACCCGAAGCCGCCCUUAAAAGGUGUCGAAGGUAUGGCUGGUGAUUGGGAUG